rnacentral:rRNA from 1 species
UGGGGAAUAUUGCGCAAUGGGCGAAAGCCUGACGCAGCAACGCCGCGUGAGUGAUGAAGGCCUUCGGGUUGUAAAGCUCUUUCGGCGGGGACGAAACGGUCCGUGACAACACCACGGACUAAUGACAGUACUCGCAGAAGAAGCACCGGCUAACUACGUGCCAGCAGCCGCGGUAAUACGUAGGGUGCAGGCGUUAAUCGGAAUUACUGGGCGUAAAGCGUGCGCAGGCGGCUCCUUAAGUCAGAUGUGAAAUCCCCGGGCUUAACCUGGGAACUGCGUUUGAAACUGAGGGGCUAGAGUGUGGAAGAGGGGGGUGGAAUUCCAGGUGUAGCAGUGAAAUGCGUAGAGAUCUGGAGGAACACCUGUGGCGAAGGCGGCCACCUGGGCGGUUACUGACACUGAGGGACGAAAGCAAGGGGAGCAAACAGGAUUAGAUACCCCCGUAGUCCCUGAGCGGGCUGGCAAGGCG